rnacentral:rRNA from 1 species
GAUGAACGCUGGCGGUAUGCUUUACACAUGCAAGUCAUACGAGAGUUUUUAACUCAAGUGGCGGACGGGUGAGUAACACGUAAGAAUUUGCCUUUAGGAGGGGGACAACAACUGGAAACGGCUGCUAAUACCCCAUAUGCUUUCGAGUGAAAUGAAUUUAUUCGCCUAAAGAGAAGCUUGCGGCUGAUUAGCUUGUUGGUGAGGUAAUGGCUUACCAAGGCGACGAUCAGUAUCUGGUUUGAGAGGAUGAUCAGACACACUGGAACUGAGACACGGUCCAGACUCCUACGGGAGGCAGCAGUGGGGAAUUUUCCGCAAUGGGCGAAAGCCUGACGGAGCAAUACCGCGUGAGGGAUGACUGCCUAUGGGUUGUAAACCUCUUUUUUCAGGGAGGAAUAAAAUGACGUGUACCUGAAGAAUAAGCAUCGGCUAACUCCGUGCCAGCCGCCGCCGUAACAC